rnacentral:piRNA from 1 species
UCCGGCUCGAAGGACUUCGUGCA